GACCCCGUGGCGCAGUGGGUAGCGCGCUUGUUUUGGAAAUUUGCAUCGGGGGUUCGACUCCGCGAGGUGGCA